GACGAACGCUGGCGGCGUGCUUAACACAUGCAAGUCGAACGGAAAGGCCCUGCUUUUGUGGGGUGCUCGAGUGGCGAACGGGUGAGUAACACGUGAGUAACCUGCCCUUGACUUUGGGAUAACUUCAGGAAACUGGGGCUAAUACCGGAUAGGAGCUCCUGCUGCAUGGUGGGGGUUGGAAAGUUUCGGCGGUUGGGGAUGGACUCGCGGCUUAUCAGCUUGUUGGUGGGGUAGUGGCUUACCAAGGCUUUGACGGGUAGCCGGCCUGAGAGGGUGACCGGCCACAUUGGGACUGAGAUACGACCCAGACUCCUACGGGAGGCAGCAGUGGGGAAUAUUGCACAAUGGGCGGAAGCCUGAUGCAGCAACGCCGCGUGCGGGAUGACGGGCUUCGGGUUGUGAUCCGCUGUCGCCUGUGACGAAGCGUGAGUGACGGUAAUGGGUAAAGAAGCACCGGCUAACUACGUG
rnacentral:rRNA from 1 species